ACAGUCUGAAGAGUCUGUUGGCCUGCGGUCUAAAUUGUCAAGAGAUCUACAUUCAACUAAAAUACUUUCAGAAUAAAACAAGGUGCAGUUUUGCAAACGGUCAUUUAUGUGUGCAUUCCUUCAGUGAGAAUGAGCCCCAAGGGAAAUGGAAGAUACUGCACCAAAAUAUACUCCGGUUGUACUGCAGCACUUAUAAAGAUCUUCAGUUUCCGAUAUUGUAGUACAUUUUUCUACAUGCACCGCUGUGAAAUAAUAUUUUUAAAACAUUGCACAUCUAUUUAAAUGUAUACGUGUAUGUAUACUUGUGUGUCUGUGUAAUACACAGUGUGUGUGUGUAGGUGUGUGUGUGUGUGGUAUAUUCCAUUUCCGUAAGAGAGCCCUGUGUGAGCACACCCCCACGGCCCAAAGGAGAUGUGAUGAGCCUUCAGCCUUUAGCAGAGGGGCGUCAGGAGUCCUCAGAACUGAUCCCUGCAGAUCCUGUCCUGCGCCAUCUUGGACCUGGCCUUCUCUAUCAGCAGCAGGAUGUGCUCGGCGAACUCGCGCACCGCCCCCCGCCCCGCCGGGCUGCGGCAGGUGUACUUGGUGGCGUUGAGCGCCACCACGGGGGCGUCCGGGGGCACCCCGCUCAUCCCCGCCCGCUUCAGACACUCCACGUCCGCCUCGUCGUUGCCUAGGAGACGAGACCAGGGGGGGGGGGGGAAAGAGAGAGAGAGGUUCUGGCGGUUACACGAAGCUCUCGAGCCUUUGGCCCCGUAGUCGAGGGCAACCAGAAUUCCUGAUAAAAUUGGGAUGGUCAUAAUAAGCACGUUGUAUUCGGUUUAUAUUUGAACGAAUAGUGAGGUGUAACUAACACGACCAUUACUUUUUAACCAAACAGCGCUAUAACUUUCAGUGGGCUGCCAAAUCCUGAAAAAACCUUUUCAGUGAUGACCCAAAGACAUCGAUAAAUGCUUUUUGCAACUCAAA